rnacentral:lncRNA from 1 species
UUUUUUUUUUUUUUUUUUUUUUUUUUUGAGACAGUCUUGCUCUGUUGCCCAGGCUGGAGUACAUUGUGGCGUGAUCUCAGCUCACUGCAAGCUCCGCCUUCCGGGUUCAGGCCAUUCUCCUGCUUCAGCCUCCUGAGUAGCUGGGACAACAGGCACCCGCCACCACGCCCGGCUAAGUUUUUAUAUUUUUAGUAGAGAUGGGGUUUCACUGUGUUAGCCAGGAUGGUCUCGAUCUCCUGACCUCAUGAUCCACCCACCUCGGCCUCCCAAAGUGCUGGGAUUAUAGGCAUGAGCCACCACGUUCAGCCCGUUCUGACUAUUCUAAUUAGGGCUGUAGGGUGAAAAUAUUUGCAACUCUUUACUUCAAUACUUCAUAAUAUAUUAAACGCAAAUGUAUUCAAAGUGAUUAUUCAGCAAUUUUUGUCUUUUCCGAAGUUUUAAUUUUUUAAACACUUUUAAAAUUUCUAUUUUAUUUAUUGUAUUUUUUUUUUUAGAUUCAAGGUCCCACUAUGUUGCCCAAGCUAGACUCAAACGAUUCUCCUACCUUAACCCGAGUAGCUCGGAUUACAGGUGUAUAUCUUUUUUCUGCAGUUUUUAGAGAGGGUUUUUCAAAUGUUUAUUAAGCAUCAAUGGCAUAUCUACUAUAAAUACUAGAUAUAUUAUGCUCAGUGAUUCUUAGCAGAAAUCUUAAAAUGUUCCUAUCAUUGACUUUCUCUGUACAAAAAUUUCAGAUUCAUGAAGACUGCUUUAGAGUUUAGCUGCAUGGGGUUUGGAGAACUGAGAUGUUACCUGGUUUGUUUAUAUUAACAAAUACCUAUUCUCAAAUCACAGAUGAUAGACUUAAAUUUUUGAAAAUGAGUAUACAAAGGCCGGGCAUGGUGGCUCACAUCUGUAAUCCCAGCGCUUUGGGAGGCCCAGACACGAGGAUUGCUUAAAAAUAGAAGUUCAAAUACAGCCUGGGCAACACGGCAGGGCCUCAUGUCAAUGAAAAAUAGAAAAAUUAGCCAGGGACGGUGGCAUGCACCUGUAGUCCCAGCUACUCAGGAAGCUGAAGCAGGAGGAUCACUCAAGUGGUGAGGUUACAACGAACUAUGAUUCACCGCUGCACUACAGCCUACAUGACAGAGUAACACCCUGCCUCUAUUUUUUAAAAAAAGAAUUAGUAUAUAAGGCUAAAUAAGUAUAAACACAUAAAAAGAAUUAGUGUAUAAGAUUAAAUAAGUGUAAGCACACAAACAAACUUAUGUGGAAGUAACAUGUUUGGCAGAAUACAUCUAUCAAUUAGGAAGAUAGUAAAAAGAUAGAAUUCAUCUAUCAAUUAGGAAGGUAGUAAAAAGGUCUUUGUGACUAAUAUGCUGUACUCAUUACAGUCUCCUAGGCCAUCAUUCAGGGACUAAAAAAUUUAAAUGAUGAAAAAAAUUAAAGACUAUAGUAUAGUACAUAGAAGAUUCCAUUUUUCUUGUCAACUGUGUUGACAGGCUGUGCACGUGCACUGGGCAAGUCACUUAAUUUUUCUGGACCUCAAUUUCUAGCCACCCUCUGAAAUCCUAAGAUGGUAUUCUUAUUUUUUAAGAUAAUUUUUACAACCUUGGUUAUCUAAGAUAAUUUUUACAACCUUGGUUAUCUAGUUUUCUAAGCAAUAGCAGACCAGAAAUAGUCAAAGAGAGAGAGCAGGGAGAAGUGUAGCAGGAAACAAGCCAUUGAUAAUGUACUAAGUGGCAGGUAACAGAGAAGAUGACUGAAAAUUUUUAACAAUCAGAUCCAGGAACCCUCACAGUAACCUGGGUCCAUUAGGAAUAGAAAAACAUACCUCUUCUAUCUAUGGAUAAUUCAAAGGUCUUAUUUCUCUUCCGGCACUUCAAUUUUGUUUUGGUCAUUUUACUGAAGUGGAGGAUGAAGAAAAACAAACAAGACAUGUAACUACGCCCCUAAAGAGUUAACGACACCAAUGACUAACAAAUGGUUUGCAGGAUGACAGAUAAAAAAAGAAACAACUUGCUGAAAUGCCGAGACUCUCUCUACUUAUAAGAUAAAACUGGCUGAAAUCAGUUGAAAUCAAUAUGGCCAACUGGAGUUUUGCACAGAAAGAGCUUGCUGACAUCACGGUGUUCAUUUCUACCAGAUGUUUCAUACUAACUCUCCCCCAAUUUGCACAUGGAACCCAUGAGGAGGCAUGAAGAGAUAACUGUGCAUGCCUAAGGAUUUUACCAGACCUCCCCUUUCCUUUGAUCAAUCACCUGCUAAUCUCAGCAUCUACCCCUCGACCUUUUCUUAUAAAAUUACUGCCUUAAAGUCAGCAGGAGGAAACACAUUUGAGCCAGACUCCUACCUCCUUGUUAGUCAACUUGCAAUAUAAAGCUUUUCUUUCCUCAAAACUUGUUGUCGUAGCAUUGGUUUCUAGUGCAUUGGGCAGCAAGCCCCCUUCUCUUUUGCUGAAUAAUAGACAGAAGUAAAAUGUAACACAUUCAAGUGUUGACAGUUAAAGUAAAACACAACACCAUUUGUGAGCUUUACAUUCUACUUAGGACAAAGUAAAGAGAGAGAGACAGAGUCCUUUGAGUAUAUCUGUAAAUAACACAUUAUUUUACAGUUCUAAUACUUCACACUGCUCUGUUAUGCAAUAAGACAAACUGAUUUACACAAGAGCCAGUUUCUAUAGUUCCAAAUGGAUGCAGAUGGGAAAAAACACUAGAUGUGGUCUUAUACAAUCUAGGUUUGAAUCCCAACUUGACCCAAAAGUAGCAAAUAGACCACAGAAGGCAACAGUCUUUCCAAACUCAACUCUUAAUUGAAGAUACUCAUGCUUAUCCUUACAAAAUUGAAAAGAUCUAAUGAAUUAACAUCUGUGAAAGCAUUUUAUAAUUCUAUAAAAGCCUUUCAUAAACUAACAUCUCAUAUACAUAUCUUAUGAAUCUCCAAAACUGUCUCCAGUUUACAGUGAAUAACUGGAGAUCAACUGCAUAUAUAUGAAUACGCUAUAAAAUCUAGUGAGUUCCUCUGACCAACACUCAACUCACUCAAAGGCAAAAGCAACAAGAUAAUCCAGUUAGGUCAAACUACUGAUUUCAGGUAGGAUACAAUCAUCUGUGGCAGACCAACUCACCUAUCAAAACUAUCCUCCACAGCCUGGGCACCAUCAUGAGACCUUGUCUCUACAAAAAGUAAAUGAACAGAUAAAAACUCAUCGCACCCAAGAUGGCUGAAUAGGAACAGCUCCAGCCUCCAGCUCCCAGCCUGAGUGACACAUAAGACGAGUGACUUCCGCAUUUUCAACUGAGGUACCGGGUUCAUCUCACUGGGGUGUGUUGGACAGUCGAUGCUGGUCCGCGGGUGCAGCACAACUGGCGAGAGCUGAGGCAGGGCGAGGCAUCGCCUCACCUGGAAAGCAUGAGGGGGAAGGGAAUUCCUUUUCCUAGCCAAGGGAAAUUGAGACACACAACAUCUGGAAAAUUGGGUAACUCCCACCCUAAUACUGCACUUUACCAAGGGUCUCAGCAAACGGCACACCAGGAGAUUAUAUCCCACACCUGACCCGGAGGGUCCCACGCCCACGGAGCCUCCCUUAUUGCUAGGAUUUAACUGCAAGGCGGUAGUGAGGCUGGGGGAGGGGCGUCCGCCAUCGCUGAGGUUUAAGUAGGUAAACAAAGCCACUGGGAAGCUCGAAUUGGGUGAAGCCC